AGCACCCAGGGAGGCUGUGUUCAGACGGACAGCCCAUUGUCUGUGCUUCUCCAGUUUCAUCAGGCAGUUUUAGAGGCAUUAAACCCGAACAGGUCACACUGGGCUAACGAAUUUCAUUCUGCGUGGACGACGAUGACCCACGAACCAAAGCCGGCAACUGUGACCUCUGGCCGUGUGGUCUCACAGUGGCGGUGGUUGACAGGUGGCUGGAUCCUGGGCCAGGGAUUCAGGAUCUAUUGAAUGCCUACUAUGUGCUGAGCCUUGCCUGCCUGGGUGCUGGGGACAGAGCUGUUAUAGAGACACAUGCAAAGGAGACGCGCGAAAUCCAAGGGUUGCAAAUUUGUCCUGCUAACUUCCGUGUGUGGGCGCCACUGGCAUCUGGUGGCAGGAGUGGGCAGGAGGGCUAGACGUCCUGCAAUGUGCUGGCCAGUCCCCUCCAACCGAGAAUGAGCCCACAUCCCACACAACAGUCCAACGUCUCACUGGAUGUUCACUUUUCAUAGUCACUGAAUUUUCCAGGAGUGCAACGACCGUGUCAAUUGAGGAGGGCUGUUCUUGGUUUCAUUUGGACGUUAACCAAGAGCUGGUCACCAUUUCGGAAAAUCGCGUCACCAUUGGCCUCACCCACGGGCACACCUGUGAGCAUCUGCACUUGCAGCUGUUGCCUUCCUGGGGACCCUGGAAGGGGGCAAGCGUCUGAAUCCUUCUUUAUGUGGCCGAGGGAGUCCAGCGUCCCUGUAUAUGAUUUUAUGGCAAAUUACCUUCCUUUUAAUCCUCUUUUAUAUUAUAAUGAAGACAUUAUAUUGUUUUAAACAUCAUAUGUACACGUGAAUUAUAUACCUGUAAAUUCAACUUCAGGAUAGAAAGGCACAUUACCAAAUAUUAUAUAAAUACAAUAUAAUAUCUAUUAUAUAAAUAUAUUUUGUAAAAGGAGCGUCGGGUUUGAACGGGUUGGGGAGCCUGUGAGUCAGGAGACGGGAAAUGGUUUCGUGACGGGUGAGUCAGGGC
rnacentral:lncRNA from 1 species